CGGUAAUACAGAGGGUGCGAGCGUUAAUCGGAAUUACUGGGCGUAAGGCGCACGUAGGCGGCUUGGUAUGUCGGGUGUGAAAUCCCCGGGCUCAACCUGGGAACUGCAUCCGAAACUGCCUUGCUAGAGUAUGGGAGAGGGAAGCGGAAUUUCCGGUGUAGCGGUGAAAUGCGUAGAUAUCGGAAGGAACAUCAGUGGCGAAGGCGGCUUCCUGGACCAAUACUGACGCUCAGGUGCGAAAGCGUGGGGAGCAAACAGGAUUAGAUACCCUGGUAGUCCACGCCCUAAACGAUGACAACUGGAUGUCGGGAGGGUUUGCCUUCCGGUGUCGUAGCUAACGCGUUAAGUUGUCCGCCUGGGAAGUACGGCCGCAAGGUUGAA
rnacentral:rRNA from 1 species